rnacentral:lncRNA from 1 species
CACGUCCAGCGGAGGAGAUUUCAUUUUUAUCAAUUGGCUUGCUUUCAACGUUAAAAAGGAGAAAGUUGAUUUCAUUUGGAGUGUGCACGUUGCGUUCGGCUGAUGAGGCAGAGGAGUGAUUUUCUUUUGGGAAGAAGUGUCGGCAUUUUCUUUAAGAUGCAUUUUUAUAGUUUAUAUAUGAUAUGCUUUUUUUUUACUAUUAUUGUUUUCUUAUCUUUUACUAUUGUUAACGCAUUCUAAGGCUAUUCAUUCCUUUUUUUUUUUCUUUUUUUUUAUUUUCUUUAAUGUAACGAGCCUUUAGUUUAUAGCUUAACCGUUGCAUCGUAAUUGGUCCAAAUAAUUAAGCAUUGAAUAUCUUUUCUUAUUUAUUUUAUGCAUUACAAUUUGUUCAUGCCGCAUUGAAUAUUUUAUUUUAGUGUUUUCUAUUCAGUUUAUUUUUUUUAUUUCCUAUGCUAUUUAUUCUGUUCGGUCUUUUUAUCUUUCUGCAUCUCUAAUUUCUUCACUUUUUUUUAGAAAUCGUUCGUUCUCAAUGUUGAACUGUUCGGUCACCUGUAGGACCGUUCAGUCUUCAUGUUUUGUCCAUUUAUUUUAAUGUUUUCAAUUAUGUGUGGUUUAAUUUAAUUUCCAGUUUUAAUUUAGUUUAACUCUCCAUGCAAAAAAACACUUUUAAACCCCCCCACUUCGUGUGUGACCUAAUUCUCAAACCACAGUUUGGUCCUUGAGAGACGACCUAGGAGUCACUUCCUAGUCUAUACUGCAUUUCUCAUAUGCAAUCAAAUUUGUAUGGGCCGCGACACCCAUCAAAUUUUGGCGCCGCUGCCGAGGACCAACGGUUCGGUUUUAGGUCUUUUGUUGUGUUAGUGUGUGUUGUCUUGUCUUGUGUUGUGAGUGUGAUGUUCUGUUUUGUGUGUUCAUCAUUGUGUGUUGCAUUUAGAUAGCUUUAGUUGCAUAUUUUCAUUGCAUUCUUCUU